rnacentral:pre_miRNA from 1 species
CAAGUACUCCCUUCGUCCAAAAUUACUUGUCAUCAAAAUGGAUGUGUCUAGAACUAAAAUACAUCUAGAUACAUCCAUUUCAAUGACAAGUAUUUUCGGACGGAGGGAGUACAAG